AUUUUCAGUGAAAUAUAGUUGUGCUUAUGCUUAUGUGCAUGUGUAUACACACAUCUGUAUAUUUAAAGAAAGAAUACAUAAGAAGUAUACCCUCACCAUAACAAUACAUAAGCUUUAUCGGUGCUAUUUCUAAAGUUGGAAUUUUUCAGCGCUACUCCUCAAUGAGUUAUUGAGAAGGCACACAGUGAAAGAAAACACAGUUUCUGAAGAGGCCUAUUCUUCACAGCUGAUAUGUUUUGAAUGUUUAUCUUGUCUAAAUCCCAUGUUAAAAUGUGUUUCCCAGUGUUGGAGGUGGGACUUGGUGGGAGGUGAUUGCAUCAUGAUUGGGGGCGGAUCCCUCACAAACGGCUUAGCGUCAUCCCCUUGGUGAUGAGUGAGUUCUUGCUCAGUUCAUGUGAGAUCUGAUUGUUUAAACUGUCUGGAACCUCCUCCUCCUCUCUGUUGCUCCUGUUCUUGCCAUGCAACAUUCUGGCUCCCCUUUGGCUUCUGCUGCCCUUUUAAGCUUCCUGAGGCCCUCACCAGAAGCAGAGGCUGCCCUUGUGCUUCUUUUACAGCCUCCAGAACUGUGAGCCAAUUAAACUGAUUUUCCUUGUAAAUUACUCAAUCCGAGAUAUUCCUUUGUAGAGAUGCAAAAGCAGCCUAAUAUAAGAGCCUGUUUCAGGGGUGAAAAAUUUAAUGGAAUAGAAAAUGAAAACACAGAACUCGUUUGUAAAACGUUGCACCACAUCUCAGACAUUAGCUGUGAUGGAUAAUUUUGUGUGUCAACUUGACUGGGCUAAGAAAGUUUUCCAACUAAAGUCAGACUCCACUCAAAGCAUAAGAUAAUAUGAACAAUUCAAAGACUAGUAUACAAUUUUAAGUUCAUGGUUAAAUCCAGGAACAGAAAGCAGGAAACAACACUUUGACCAGGAUGUUGAGGGCAUUGCAUUUAAUAGAUCACUGGAAGAAGAAUCCCCAUCUCAGACUCAUCUUUAGAAGACAGAGGUGUGUAAAGGAACCAAGGGACUGCAAAGACUCUUUCUACACAGAGGUCCGGGAGCUGGUGAACUUCCAGCAGGAGCAGGCGUUCAAGGACAAGACCCAUAUGCAGUGGCUCACCCUGCAGGCCCUAGAGGAAGAAGCUUCUCCAGGCUGAGGAGUCGUCUCCUGCCCUGGAGGGGAUCAGGGGAGUUGAGGAAAAAUGAGGCCAACUAAAGGCUGUUCCCACCAACCGAGGGAAGACGUGGGAGGACGUGCCUUCAAACACUCAGAUGCCUUAGAAAUGCUCCAGAAAAAGACGCAGGGAUUGGAUUCCAGGUUCCAGCACGUGGAAGAUGGAGUCUGUUCUGUGGAGAUGGCUUCUUUGCCCCAGGCUGAGAGCCUGCAGCGUCUUGUCCAAGAGUCAGUAGCCUGACUGCCCUACAGGGGCGCCUGGUGGCCCCGAGUCCCCGGACAAAGACAGGGAUGUCCUGGCAGUGCAGUGAGGAGCCUGGCCAGGCCCAGUUGGUGCUCCAGGGCACUGCAGAUGAGAUGAAGAGUGUGGGCAAGCUCCUGGCACCCACUGCCCAUCCAGGACCAAGCCCAGCAUGCCCGUCUGCUCCUUUAGGACUUCCUGGACAGCUGUUCUUGAGACAACCUGAAAUCCUCAGCCAGCCUAGUGCAAUUGGACUUGAAAAUGCUUAGGAAUGUCAGGGACAAGUUUGCUUGUGUACCCAGCCACAAGAGAAACCAAUGAGAACAGCCUGGAAUCAGCCAAGGGUUUACUAGAUGACCUGAAAAAUAAUCUGGUUGGGUUGUUUGUAAAGGUUGAAGAGAUCUAUGAAAAGGUCUCAGUGAAUUGUGUGCGCAGGGCACGGAUUUAAAAUACAAUUUCUCAUGAUCAUAAAAUGUGUUGUUUUCUCCCAUGUAGUCUCCCUCCUCAAUUCCUUAUUCCUUCUGAAAGAGUGGUAGAUACCAUCUGAGCAUCAAGGCUUAUAUUUUCUGCUCAAUUAAUUGAUUGGCUCCUUCUUCGGUGGUGCCUAUCCUUUCUUAGCCAACCUAAUAGCCUUGAGUUAGUUAUGUGAGCAACUGAGGGGAGGGGAAGUGGAGAGAAAUGCAACACACUUCACUGGUCCCACUUUGGUGGAAGUAUCACCUUGUAGGAGAAUCCCAGUACAGGCCGUGGGUGGUGGCUCACACCUGUAACCUCAGCACUUUGGGAGGCUGGGUGGGUGGAUCACCUGAGGUCAGCAGUUGGAGAACAGGCUGGCCAACAAGGUGAGAUCUAAUCUCUACUAAAAAUACAAAAAUUAGCUGGGCGUGGUGGCGGAGGCCUGAAAUCCCAGCUAAUCUAGAGACUUAGGCAGGAGAAUCAUUUGAACCUGGGCGGUGGAGGUUCCGGUGAGCCGAGACUGUGCCAUCGUACUCCAGUCCAGACAACAAGAACAAAAACCCAUCUCAAACAAAAACAAAAAAAGUAUCUGAGAACAAGACCAGCCAUAGAGUGCAGCCCAAGACAAAGAGUUAACACUUAGGAAUCCAGUAGCAAGAAUGUGAACUAGUUUAUGAAUGAGUAUGAGACAGACCAUCUUAUCCUGAACUGCUAGAGGAAGGUGACACUUGAAAGGUGAAAAGGCAAAAAUGUAGCAGUAUGAUAAUCAAGUCUUCCCUUGCACAGCAUUUAAAAUCUGAAUGUCAAAUUCACAUGCAUAAUUUAAUUUGAACUUUAUGGGAAUUUGGUGUGAUGUAGGUAGAGCACGCCACAUUACUAGUUUCUCAAUGAGUAACAUCCCAGUGUGAGAGUUCAUGUUCUUAGUCCAAGGUCACAGCUAAUAAGAGGUAGAAUCUGGCUUAUACCUAGGUUUCCUGAAUCUUAAGUUUAUUUUUCAUAAUAAUUAGAACACAUAUAAACCAUAUGUGUCUAAAGAACACCUCCGCAGUCACCUUUGCCUCUAACCUGAAAUGGGAUGUGUUUGGCAGUAUUUGGCUAUCACUGACUUGAUGUGAUUCUUUAAGACCUUCCUGGUGGUGACUGAGCAGUGCCAGCUGAACACCCAAAUUGAGAAGAGGAAUCAAGCCACCAAAAAAGAAGCUGAGUUUUGAUUUACUAAAACUCCAAUUACACUUAAUCAGAUUACACUCCCAUUACACUCCAAUACCAUUUCUGUGCACACUGGAUAUCUCUCAAGGUAUUUUCAACUGCAAUCAAAAUAUGUAUGUGUGUUUUCUUGCCUUGAAAAAUGAUGACUCUGCUAAAAGAAAUUCAGUAAAGAUUUCUAAUCAUUGCCAGUUUGACAGAUAUGAAUCAAAAUAAACUUCUUUUAGAGGAAGUAAGUUGCUCAAUGAUUCAGCGAGCUGAUCUUUGAAAUGUGCUUCUAGUAGUCUAUGAAUAUGAUGCUAUGCCUGGAUGACACCUUAGAUUUCCACUUGGCCACUUGCAAAGAUUAAUGACCAGUGUCCCAGACAAGAAAGAAAAAUUGUACAGAUUCUGGAUAAAUGCAUAGCACUUCUUAUAGUUUCCCUAAAUAUCACUUAAGGUUUUUUUUUUCUCCUCGUGUGAAAGCUAUAUUUUUACUCCUACCAAUAUUAGAGAGCAUAUGCUAGACUUUCAAAGGGUAUUAAGAAAAAUAUAAUGGACUUUGUUAAGUCAUAUUUUGUCUCAGUAAACCCCAAUCCCCAUGCCUUUUGUUACAAGUAGGGUCACCAUCUUGCAUUUCAAAUUGUUCAACCCUGUACAAAUGGGAUAUAUUUGACAAAUGUACUCUUAACACAUGUUUUAGAAACAAUUCCAGAAUAUAAAUCUUUUUUUUCAGUUUCAUUAGUUUUAAUAAAUCACUGAGAUUUAUAAUACACCAUAGUGACCCUCAAUAGAGUUGGCACCUAGUUGAUGGUUAACUAGACUGUCUUCAACAGUAACUCCCUUUGGUUUGGUCAGGGAGCACUGAGAGAUGACUGCCAUGUAAAUAUAGCUAAGUACACUCUGGCCUGGGGUAACAUUUAUUUAUUUUUUUUUAAAUUUUUUUAUUGCAUUUUAGGUUUGGGGGUACAUGUGCAGAACAUGCAAGACAGUUGCAUAGGUACACACAUGGCAGUGUGUUUUGCUUCCUUUCUCCCCUUCACCCACAUUUGGCAUUUCUCCCCAGGCUAUCCCUCCCCAGCUCCAUAUAAACCUUAAAUUUACUGAUUGCAGAAGAAUAAAACUAUUUAAAACUUUUUAGGCACUGUGAAGACUAAAUGCCAUUCUAUGAACCUAACAGUGUUUUUACCACUGUUAUAUAUUUUAAGGAAUUAUAUAUUUUAAGCAGAAUAGGCAAAAUAGGUAAUCUGACCCUCAAUUGCUAGCUCCAGGAGACUAGCUGUGAUUAAAAUUAUUUUCUACUUGUUUUAUUUAUUGGACUAUAGCGGGCAUCAUCUAUGUGAAUUUUAAUAAAAUGCUGAUAAUGAUAUGGCCAGUCCAAAUGAUACAACCUAAUUCUGCUUGUGACAAUAUAUGAACCAUUCAUAAGGUUGACAAGAUGUAGAAUCUACAGAAUAUAAUUUCCUUCCUGUACACAGCCAAACUAAACUACUGCAUGCUAAUGAACCUUACACUAAGGAAGUCCAGAUGGCUGAAAUAAUAGUUUCAUUUAUGAAGAGAAGUAAGGAGAUUUUAAGUUGGCUGCCUUUGUUAAAUCUGAAUUAACUUUUCUGUAGAAAGGAACUUUCACCCA
ensembl:lncRNA